rnacentral:lncRNA from 1 species
ACAGUUGCCCCUCUGUGCUCCAACACAUGAAGAGUUUUCAGAAGAAGAUAAAAUGAGCAAGUACGAGCAAUUUAUUCCUCUUGGAUACUCCAUGCGAAGCGAUUUGAAAAAGCUUGACCGAACCUUGCUUCAAAUGUUGCCUACAUAUCUUUGGCUAUAAAGAAAUAAUGUCAGUGUAGUUCUAGAAAUUUUGGCAGAUGGGAC